rnacentral:lncRNA from 1 species
CUGUGGACUACACCCCACCCUUCUUCAUGAGCAGGUGCCAGCUGCUCUACAGAUCUGACCCUGUUUGUACCACCUAAG